rnacentral:ncRNA from 2 species
CAGCUAAUUGAAUAAACUUCUCAUAUAUCCUUAGGAAUUGGCCUAAGAGUUUCUACCCAGCAACCGUAAUUGCCGGACUAUGAGUGAAAUACACAUAUAG